GAUGAACGCUGGCGGCGUGCUUAACACAUGCAAGUCGAACGGGAAACCUUUUAAUGAAGCUUCGGCAGAUUUAGCUGGUUUCUAGUGGCGGACGGGUGAGUAACGCGUGGGUAACCUGCCUUAUACAGGGGGAUAACAGUCAGAAAUGACUGCUAAUACCGCAUAAGCGCACAGGACCGCAUGUUCCGGUGUGAAAAACUCCGGUGGUAUAAGAUGGACCCGCGUUGGAUUAGCUUGUUGGUGGGGUAACGGCUCACCAAGGCGACGAUCCAUAGCCGGCCUGAGAGGGUGAACGGCCACAUUGGGACUGAGACACGGCCCAGACUCCUACGGGAGGCAGCAGUGGGGAAUAUUGCACAAUGGGGGAAACCCUGAUGCAGCGACGCCGCGUGAAGGAAGAAGUAUCUCGGUAUGUAAACUUCUAUCAGCAGGGAAGAUAGUGACGGUACCUGACUAAGAAGCCCCGGCUAACUACGUG
rnacentral:rRNA from 1 species